UACGUAGGGCGCAAGCGUUGUCCGGAAUUAUUGGGCGUAAAGAGCUCGUAGGCGGCUUGUCGCGUCGAUUGUGAAAGCCCGGGCUAACUCCGGUCUGCAGUCGAUACGGGCAGGCUAGAGUGUGGUAGGGGAGAUCGGAAUUCCUGGUGUAGCGGUGAAAUGCGCAGAUAUCAGGAGGAACACCGGUGGCGAAGGCGGAUCUCUGGGCCAUACUGACGCUGAGGAGCGAAAGCGUGGGGAGCGAACAGG
rnacentral:rRNA from 1 species